rfam:Ailuropoda melanoleuca scaffold3427_24, whole genome shotgun sequence.
GUACGUGAAAGUGCUGAAGAAAAAGUUUACCUUGGGAUGGCUAUAAGCAUUAAAAAAAGACUGAAAACAUAC